CAUUAUUUGUGGUAAGAUCUGAUGAUAUAUUGACCUGGUCUGGGGCUUGAUUCUUUGGGACGGAGAACCAUUUUCUCUUAUUGGUGUCUGGUUUUCAUAGCCAUUCAUCCUCAGGACGAAUGAGACUGGUACUGA